rnacentral:rRNA from 1 species
AUUGAACGCUGGCGGCAGGCCUAACACACGCAAGUCGAGCGGAUGAAGGGAGCUUGCUCCUGGAUUCAGCGGCGGACGGGUGAGUAAUGCCUAGGAAUCUGCCUGGUAGUGGGGGAUAACGUCCGGAAACGGGCGCUAGUACCGCAUACGUCCUGAGGGAGAAAGUGGGGGAUCUUCGGACCUCACGCUAUCAGAUGAGCCUAGGUCGGAUUAGCUAGUUGGUGGGGUAAAGGCCUACCAAGGCGACGAUCCGUAACUGGUCUGAGAGGAUGAUCAGUCACACUGGAACUGAGACACGGUCCAGACUCCUACGGGAGGCAGCAGUGGGGAAUAUUGGACAAUGGGCGAAAGCCUGAUCCAGCCAUGCCGCGUGUGUGAAGAAGGUCUUCGGAUUGUAAAGCACUUUAAGUUGGGAGGAAGGGCAGUAAGUUAAUACCUUGCUGUUUUGACGUUACCAACAGAAUAAGCACCGGCUAACUUCGUG